UACGGAGGGUGCGAGCGUUGUCCGGAAUCACUGGGCGUAAAGGGCGCGUAGGUGGCCCGUUAAGUGGCUGGUGAAAUCCCGCGGCUCAACUGCGGGGCUGCCGGUCAUACUGGCGAGCUAGAGCACGGUAGGGGCAGAUGGAAUUCCCGGUGUAGCGGUGGAAUGCGUAGAGAUCGGGAAGAAUACCAGUGGCGAAGGCGUUCUGCUGGGUCGUUGCUGACACUGAGGCGCGACAGCGUGGGGAGCAAACAGG
rnacentral:rRNA from 1 species